AGAGGCUACUGCCAUCAGAGUUCGAUUAAGCCAUGUUAGUCGAGGGUACCUCUUCUUCUUCGGAGGAUGAGGUAACCCGGCGGACGGCUCAGUAACACGUGGAUAACUUGCCCUUGGGUCUGGGAUAACCCCUGGGAAACUGGGGCUAAUACCGGAUAGAGCAUCAAUCGCUGGAAUGCAUGAUGCUCGAAAACUACGGUGCCCAAGGAUAGGUCUGCGGCUGAUUAGGUUGUUGUUGAUGUAAUGGACCAACAAGCCUACGAUCGGUACGGGUUGUGAGAGCAAUAGCCCGGAGAUGGGUUCUGAGAAAAGAACCCAGGUCCUACGGGACGCAUCAGGCGCGAAAACUUUACAAUGUGCGAAAGCACGAUAAGGGAACUCUGAGUGCCCCCUAAGGGGGCUGUUCUAGUGUCUAAAAAGCAAUAGAAGUAAGGGCUGGGCAAGACCGGUGCCAGCCGCCGCGGUAACACCGGCAGCCCAAGUGGUAGCCACGUUUAUUGGGUCUAAAGCGUUCGUAGCCGGCUUGGUAAGUUCCUUGGUAAAUUUAGCCGCUUAACGGUUAAGCUUUCAGGGAAUACUGCUUGGCUUGGGACUGGGAGAGGUCAGAGGUACUUCAGGGGUAGGAGUGAAAUCUUGUAAUCCCUGGGGGACCAUCUGUGGCGAAGGCGUCUUACCAGAACGGGUCUGACGGUGAGGGACGAAAGCUGGGGGCGCAAACCGGAUUAGAUACCCGGGUAGUCCCAGCCGUAAACGAUGCUCGCUAUGUGUCAGGUACGGUGUGACCGUAUCUGGUGCCGUAGGGAAGCCGUGAAGCGAGCCACCUGGGAAGUACGGUCGCAAGACUGAAACUUAAAGGAAUUGGCGGGGGAGCACUACAACGGGUGGAGCCUGCGGUUC
rnacentral:rRNA from 1 species